AGCCCAGAGCCUGAAUCAGUGUGUGUGUUAGUGGAAGCGUCUGGAAAGGCGCGCGAUACAGGGUGACAGCCCCGUACACAAAAAUGCACAUGCUGUGAGCUCGAUGAGUAGGGCGGGACACGUGGUAUCCUGUCUGAAUAUGGGGGGACCAUCCUCCAAGGCUAAAUACUCCUGACUGACCGAUAGUGAACCAGUACCGUGAGGGAAAGGCGAAAAGAACCCCGGCGAGGGGAGUGAAAAAGAACCUGAAACCGUGUACGUACAAGCAGUGGGAGCACAGAGCAAUCUGUGUGACUGCGUACCUUUUGUAUAAUGGGUCAGCGACUUAUAUUCUGUAGCAAGGUUAACCGAAUAGGGGAGCCGAAGGGAAACCGAGUCUUAACUGGGCGUUAAGUUGCAGGGUAUAGACCCGAAACCCGGUGAUCUAGCCAUGGGCAGGUUGAAGGUUGGGUAACACUAACUGGAGGACCGAACCGACUAAUGUUGAAAAAUUAGCGGAUGACUUGUGGCUGGGGGUGAAAGGCCAAUCAAACCGGGAGAUAGCUGGUUCUCCCCGAAAGCUAUUUAGGUAGCGCCUCGUGAAUUCAUCUCCGGGGGUAGAGCACUGUUUCGGCAAGGGGGUCAUCCCGACUUACCAACCCGAUGCAAACUGCGAAUACCGGAGAAUGUUAUCACGGGAGACACACGGCGGGUGCUAACGUCCGUCGUGAAGAGGGAAACAACCCAGACCGCCAGCUAAGGUCCCAAAGUCAUGGUUAAGUGGGAAACGAUGUGGGAAGGCCCAGACAGCCAGGAUGUUGGCUUAGAAGCAGCCAUCAUUUAAAGAAAGCGUAAUAGCUCACUGGUCGAGUCGGCCUGCGCGGAAGAUGUAACGGGGCUAAACCAUGCACCGAAGCUGCGGCAGCGACACUAUGUGUUGUUGGGUAGGGGAGCGUUCUGUAAGCCUGUGAAGGUGUACUGUGAGGUAUGCUGGAGGUAUCAGAAGUGCGAAUGCUGACAUAAGUAACGAUAAAGCGGGUGAAAAGCCCGCUCGCCGGAAGACCAAGGGUUCCUGUCCAACGUUAAUCGGGGCAGGGUGAGUCGACCCCUAAGG
rnacentral:rRNA from 1 species